rnacentral:rRNA from 1 species
GGUUACUGCUAUCGGUGUUCGCCUAAGCCAUGCGAGUCAUAUGUUCGUAAGAACAUGGCGUACUGCUCAGUAACACGUGGAUAACCUGCCCUUGGGUCCGGCAUAACCCCGGGAAACUGGGGAUAAUUCCGGAUAACGCACAUAUGCUGGAAUGCUUUAUGCGUAAAAUGGAUUCGUCUGCCCAAGGAUGGGUCUGCGGCCUAUCAGGUAGUAGUGGGUGUAAUGUACCUACUAGCCUACGACGGGUACGGGUUGUGAGAGCAAGAGCCCGGGAUGGAUUCUGAGACAUGAAUCCAGGCCCUACGGGGCGCAGCAGGCGCGAAAACUUUACAAUGCGGGAAACCGUGAUAAGGGGACACCGAGUGCCAGCAUCCUAUGCUGGCUGUCCGGGUGUGUAAAAUACACCUGUUAGCAAGGGCCGGGCAAGACCGGUGCCAGCCGCCGCGGUAACACCGGCGGCCCGAGUGGUGAUCGUGAUUAUUGGGUCUAAAGGGUCCGUAGCCGGUUUGGUCAGUCCUCCGGGAAAUCUGACAGCUCAACUGUUAGGCUUUCGGAGGAUACUGCCAGACUUGGAACCGGGAGAGGUAAGAGGUACUACAGGGGUAGGAGUGAAAUCUUGUAAUCCCUGUGGGACCACCUGUGGCGAAGGCGUCUUACCAGAACGGGUUCGACGGUGAGGGACGAAAGCUGGGGGCACGAACCGGAUUAGAUACCCGGGUAGUCCCAGCCGUAAACGAUGCUCGCUAGGUGUCAGGCAUGGCGCGACCGUGUCUGGUGCCGCAGGGAAGCCGUGAAGCGAGCCACCUGGGAAGUACGGCCGCAAGGCUGAAACUUAA